rnacentral:rRNA from 1 species
CCUACGGGUGGCAGCAGUGGGGAAUAUUGCACAAUGGGGGAAACCCUGAUGCAGCGACGCAGCGUGAGUGAAGAAGUAUUUCGGUACGUAAAGCUCUAUCAGCAGGGAAGAAAAUGACGGUUCCUGACUUAGAAGCCCCGGAUAAAUACGUGCCAGCAGCCGCGGGAAUACGUAGGGGGAAAGCGUUAUCCGGGUUUACUGGGGGGAAAGGGAGCGUAGACGGCAGCGCAAGUCCUAAGGUAAAACCCAUGGCUUAACCCUGGGACUGCUUUGGAAACUGGGCAGCUGGAGUGCAGUAGAGGUAAGCGGAAUUCCUAGUGUAGCGGUGAAAUGCGUAGAUAUUAGGAAGAACACCAGUGGCGAAGGCGGCUUACUGGACUGUAACUGACGUUGAGGCUCGAAAGCGUGGGGAGCAAACAGGAUUAGAUACCCCUGUAGUC